rnacentral:rRNA from 1 species
AGAAUCAACGCUGGCGGCGUGCCUAACACAUGCAAGUCGAACGAGAAAGUGGAGCAAUCCAUGAGUAAAGUGGCGCACGGGUGAGUAACACGUGACUAACCUACCCUUGAGUGGGGGAUAACCUAGGGAAACCUGGGCUAAUACCGCAUAAUACCUUCGGGUCAAAGGAGCAAUUCGCUUAAGGAGGGGGUCGCGGCCGAUUAGUUAGUUGGCGGGGUAAUGGCCCACCAAGACUAUGACCGGUAUCC